rnacentral:rRNA from 1 species
AACGGCCAUACCAUGCUGAAUAUACCGGUUCUCGUUCGAUCACCGAAGUCAAGCAUCAUCGGGAGCGGUCAGUACUUGGGAGGUUGACCACCUGGGAACACCGCGUGCCGUU